AGAAACCAGAUAGAAACUGGUUCCAGAACAGUUACUUCGUCACAGCCAAAACCAGAUAUAAACUGGUUCCAGAACAGUUACUUUGUCACAGCCAGGUUACAGAAACCAGAUAGAAACUGGUUACAGAACAGUUACUUUGGUACAGCCAGGUUGCAGAAACCAGAUAGAGGCUGGUUCCAGAACAGUUACUUUGUCACAGCCAGGUUACA